CAACAUCGAGCAUCAAGCACAAGCAGGCCACAGCAACACAAAGAUCCUUAGGAUCAACACCACCGUGACGUUGCAAUGUAUAAACGCUGUAGCGCGAAGGUUGUAAUAAAAAUGAAAUCGAAGGUUGUACCAAACUUAAAAACUUUAUUAUUGAUGAAGAAAUCAUUACAAAAGAACAGUUACAAGGAAAGAAUAAAAUUAUCCUUCGACCCAUAAAAAGUCGAAGGUUAUAGGUAGCUUGUACAAAUCCAACAUACAAAUCCUCCGUCGACUAAACAACCGAAGGAUCUAUGAGUCACGUACAAAUCUCACGCACGAGUCACCAAAAACCCUAAAAUCACUACAAUAAUCCCGUGCGAGAUAAUCAACCAAAUCGUCAACAUUAAGCGAAGGACGCGCAGCUCUCCACCAGUCUAUUAACCAACCAGUUGCAUACAAGUCGCCACGCUUGAACGUCAAUGGAGUCACAUAACUUCCUUCGACAAAACUCGGAGAAAGAACAUCACAUCCAGGAGGGGAACAAACAACCUACGCAGAAAAACCAACUCAAAAAUCACUGAAUCAAGCGAAGGACACAAACUUGUCAAAAAACCAAAGUCUCAAACCUCCGCACGUCCAGGCAGAUAACGCUCAUACACUUCAGGACCCUCCAGCCAAAAAGAUUCCUCAAUCUCCUCCCCAAAUAUGCGAAGGAUAGGAUACUUCAACUGCAUAAACACAGCAAACCAAGUCAUAAAAAAAGAAAAACACAAAUAGCCUACGGCAAAGUAGAACCAAAACAAAAACCACCACCUAAGCCGGAGGCCAUGAACCUCGGCGCGCAAGCGACCGGAUAAAUUCAGAUCCUUCGCCAUCAACAUCAUAUCCAACAAACUCGAACAUAUCCACCAAUCUCAUGUUAGGGAAAGCAAUCCGCCAAUAAUCCCACAACUCACCACAAACAUAAAUUCCUUUGUAAAAAAUUGAAAGCGGAGCCUCGCAAGAAUCCUGCGCAGGUCCUCCGCUAGAGACCUGCGCAGGAUAAAAGCGUAAAACAGACAUUUAUCCAAAAACAACCCGAUAUAUUACAUUACCAGCAAAAUAUUUACAGUUGAAGUCAAGACCUUCGACUUACAAAAAAAAAGCGUCGCAUGCGCAGCAGACGCAAAAAAAACUAAAAAACCUACAAACUAUAUAACCUCACACCUGAGGCGGCGGAGGAGCAGGAGCUUCGGGUUGCUCUGAGGCCUUGGCAACAGAUUCCUCAGGAGCUUUAGCACUUGCGUCACGAACCUCCGCCUCAGCCUGAGUCGAAGGACGCGCUUCGCUAGCAGGACGCGAAGGACCGGGCUUAUCAACCUUAGCCGCCCUCUUGGCAUUCUCCUGCAAAUCAACAAGCUUAAAAAACAUUGCAAAGAAGCCUAAACCCUAAACAUAAUACAAAAAGAAUACCUCAGCGCGACGAGCCUCCGCCAUCUUCUUCGCCUCAGCCCGCCCAAACCUAAUCCAGAACGAACUAAUGAAGUUCCGGACAGACUUGCGCAGGCUCGAGGUGCCCUCGCCAACAUCCUCCGCCGACACGAACUCUUCCUUAGCAACUCCCUCCGCAUGGGAACAACCUCCGCGGCGCAGCAGCCUGGCGAAGGAGCUAACCGCAGCCAAAGCCCCAAAAUCAACAGCUCCACCAACAAAGUCAGGGAGCAUGCGGAUAUGAGACUUCAACCAUGCAAGGCUAGCACAAACGUCUCCGCCAGGCGGAGGAGCAGAGGUGCUACCUCCGAACUGUGCCAGCGAGCUGGUAUAGAGCCCCACGACAUCCGCAGCCUCCGCCUCCGCCUUCUGCAUACGAGUCUGCAUCGCAGCCCCAGACUCGCGCUCAGCGUCAAGCUCCUUGCGGAGGCGGUCAGCAAUGUCCUCCGCCUUCUCAGCUCGCUGCAAGGCCAAGUCCCUGGCACUCUCCGCUUCAGUGGCACUCGUGCGGAGGACAGCAACCGAAGCCUCGGCAUCUUCCUUCUCUCUCUUCAAAACCUCCGACCCAGCCUUGUAAUCAUCCCUCUCCUUAGUCAGAGACUCAAUUUCCUGUCGGGCAGAAGAAAGCUCCUUAACAUCCUCCGACAGGCGAGCCUUCUCGGCCUCUAAAUUUUCGUUUUCCUUCUUAAGAGCACCAAUAGCCUCGUCCCGGCAAAUAAUCUCCCGGGAGCAGCGCUCCUCCAAGGCUGCAGCCAUGUGGUGACUCUGCAAAACGCAAAAAAUCAAACCUUCGAACAAAAAACGCGAAGGAAAAACACACAAUUGGAAAACUUACAAGGCUAUGGUGCUCAAAUUGCACGCGAAGGAAGGCGUCAAAGUCCAUAUGACGGAGCUUCUGGCGGAGACGAUCUAGAUAGCAAAAGAGGUAAGGAAAAAUAUAAGUAAAUUAAAGAAAAAUCAUCAACAACGGAGGCCAGAAACGAACCUCCGACCAAAGAAUGAACCUCGCGCAGUGCAUCGGUCCAACCUGUGAUCGAAGGAUCAGAAGCACCUGCGCAAAAAGAAUAGUAAAUCAACACAAACCAAAAUAAACCAAAUCAUUAAAACAAAAGCAAUAUCAUCUAACCAGGACCCAUAACAUUAGCAGGCGAAGGCCUACUAGCCAGCGCAGACGGCGCAGGAACCCUAGGCGGAGGAACUUCAAGACCUUCCCGUGCUAUGCUAGCACCCUUAGCCAGUUCCUCCGCAGUGGCCAACCCUGCGACCACAUCCUCUAAAAAACAUAAAAUGAUAUAAGACCGCGAUAACAGAAACAAGCAUAAAAAUCAAAAAUAACAACGAGGAAACAAACCUAUGUACAGCGAAUUUAUGCCAUCUUCGGCCGGGCGCGGGGAAGCCUCCGCCCUCUUUAUCCUCCGAACAGAGGCGGACUCUGCUUCAUCACUGGACGACUCCUGCAUAUCCUUUGGCAGAAAUCCACCACCAGCAGAUACCUCCCGCGCAGGGCUCGCCUCCCGUGCAGAACUCGCUCUAGGAGCCUCCGCGUCGAAGGAAUCCUCACCAAGAAGCGACGCAAAAGGCGCCCGCACAGACGAGGCCGCACGGGAAGCUUGAACCUCGGGACCUCCGCCAUCAGCAAUGGCCUCCGCAGGAGCAGAAGCCACCGAGUUCGACUCGGCAGCAGAAGAUCGCGCGGAGGAAGACUCCACAGGAUUCUCUAGCACAACCUCCGCCUUGCGCUUCUUCGCAAGCUGCUUAACAGCACCACCCCCCUUCCUCUUCCUAGCCUCCGCCGCAGCAACGGCCUUGGAGGAAUCCUUCUUCUUCUCCAAUCCCAACAAAACAUCCGGAGGAAUAACAUAAUCCUCAUACUCAAUCCCCAAUUCCUCAAACACUCGGUUGAAGCGAGGCAUCGUACCAAGCGCAGACCUCCGCUGGAGAUACUCCUUCUCCGAGAUCUUCCCGACGAUCCUCCGAGCAGAAACCUCCACGCGGUCAAGGAAGGACUCUUUAGUCUCAUCCUCAGGCAAUCCCGCUCCAAACCGGGGAAACGGCAACCCCUCCGGAGGGCCAAAGACCGGCACUUGCACCAUCUCAAUGGUGAAUUCGUCAGUCCUGCGGCCAAGGGGCCAGUAAUCAGCUGCGACCAUCUCCUCAACUAAAUCCCGACCUCCGGAGUAUCGACAGGCUAGAGCAAAGGCCUUGUCGCAGGCCAGUCGCGCCUCCAGCUGCUCCUCCGACACUGGAUUCGAAGGAUCAACCUUGUGAAUAGGCCUAAGCAACUUCAUCUCAGAGGCAUAAGGAUAAACCUUAUCAACACUGCCGUCCUCCAGAGUCCUCGACGCGGCGGGGGUCUUCACGUAGAACCAGGCCCUCAUCCAAUCCUUCUCCCACUUGCCCUUCUGGCAGUAGGAAAUCUCGCACCUAGACCCAGGCAUUGUGCGGCGCGGCAUGAACGCGCAGCUUCCAAACUGCGCUAUAUGCUCAACUCCAUCGGCACCCUUCACCUUUUUUGGCUGGCGCUGGAGUUCAAAAUACGAACAGAAAGUAUCUACGUGAGGCACAGCUCCGUAUGAUUCACACGCCCAGGCAAAUUUGCUAAGGGUCAGUAUCCCAUUGGGACUGAAAUGCUGUAGCUCCACAUUGAAACUCUCCAUCACUUCGCGAAGGAAAUGAUACGGAGGCAUCCGAAGUCCGCAGGUGAAGAAAUCCCUAAAAACCACCGCAUAACCCUCUUCAGGCGCAGGUACCGUCUGACCCGCAGGAGGAGCCUUCGCUCGACCUUCCUUAAAAAACCUAGCCUCGACCAUAUCGGCAAUAUCCUCCUCCCUCAUAGUAGACUCACCAAAUUCAAAGGUAAUCGCCGCCAUCUCCUCAAACUCCUUCGCACUAAUCAAGUCACCAACAGAAGCUUCGACGUCAGAUAACGUCUCCUCCAGAUCUUUAGCCGCAGCCACCUCAAGCAUCCAGUCUUCAAACCUCCGCAACCAACCACCAGACCUCACGCUAAGAAAAUUACGCAAAGGACCAGAAAAAUCUGACCUUAAAGGGCGCGGCGAAGGAAAAUGAGCCACCUUAUAUCCUCCGCAAACACUUGAGAGCUAUACGCAACUAAAGCAAAUGCGAGUUGGCGAAGGAAGGAACGCAAACAGCAGGCAGCAAGGGUGAGACCCAAGAGCCUCCCCCAUGCCCCUUUUAUAGGGGGGGUGCCUGCGGCAACGUGACCGUUGCGAUUCCCCGCGCCCAACGGCUAUAAGCGGAGGAAUCGGCCUGACCGUUGCGCUUCGUCAAUGCCAACGGCUAACUCCAACGGCUAUAAUAUCCUGCGCAUCCUAACACGCGAAGGAUAUCAGACUAUCAGAACAACAAUGAUCGUAGGAUCCUGGCAAAGCAAAAUUACAAAAAAAAAAAUAAGUAAAACAAAAAUUUUUCCAAUUACGCUAACAAACACAUCCUGCGCACCAGGGGGGAAGGCAGCAACCAUGCCCGCAGCCUCCGCAGCGUGACAUGUUUUUGAGCACAUGGACCGCAGGAGUGCCAUUAGCCCAAAAAGGGGGGAACUGUUGGGGGAUGGCUGCAUCCUUCCCCCUGGUAACGUCUAAGGAUGCCCUUCACCCGAAGAACCUCCGAUCUCUAGGGCGUCGGAGGAUAUCCUCCGCCCAGAGAACCUCCGUGGGGGAGCAUGCGGAGGAUCCUGGAAAAAGGCUAACGUUGAUGACUCGUCUUGUCGUACUAAGUGUGUGCAGGAACAAACAAUCGGCGAAGGCCCUCAAGCGGAGAAAGGUGGAACCUCCGAUCCUCCCAAGUCCGAGGAUGGCUGAGGACGCGGCGGAGGUAAGAAACCUCCGACGCGCCCAGCCUGGGGGGACCUCCGAUGAAGAACCGUCGAAGGAUCGGCAACCGAGCGAGCCGAGGAACCUCCGGGACAGCCGAGCUGAGGGACCCCGACGCGCCUGAGCCAAGGAACCUCCGGCACCUGAAGUGCCGAAGGAUACGCGACCGGGCGGAGGAUCCAAGCCUCCGACAGGCUGAGACCCUAGACAGGGGACACGUGCAGGGUUUGUAAUGCGAAAUUACACGAGUGACUUGGAGUCGGUAGACUGUAAUUGGAGAAUAUGCUAGGAUAUUCCCCCACCGUCACGGGGCGUUUUUGUAAAUGUCACUAGGUCGGUUUCUGAGCCCUAUAUAAAGGGUGAUGCCGUUAUUAAUAAAGAGAGAGAGAGCAUUCACUGUAUUCACCGACCGUUGAGCUUACUGUCUGUCAGCGCUCGAACUUCUCACGGCUCCGAGUGAGAAGGUUCUCGAUCCACCGUAUUGCUGGGGAGUGCAGAGAGCAUUUUCCCAACAGUUUCUUGUUUCGGUAAAAGGUCAGGCCUAAGCGUUUACAACAGAUGGCUUGAGAAGUGUCUUGUGUAUCAAUGUCCCAUCUAUUGUGGAGACCAUAAGAAGUGUCUUCGCUAGGUUUACAUCAUCAUUGUUCUCCUAAGCAUAUUGAAAGUAUCGACAUGAGCUAGCACCAAAUUCUUGUUUAUAUCAUUAUGCUAACAUCGAAAUAAGCUCACCUUGUAUUCAAUGGUUGUAUCCUUAGCUGGUGUUGGUAAUAUUAACUUGACAUUUGUUUUAGCUAGACACUUAUUUAGGCCUUGUUUAGUUCACCCUGAAAACCAAAAAGUUUUCAAGAUUCUCCGUCACAUCGAAUCUCGUGGCACAUGCAUGAAACAUUAAAUAUAAAUGAAAACAAAAACUAAUUACACAGUUUAGCUGUAAAUCACGAGAUAAAUUUUUUGAUCCUAGUUAGUCCAUGAUUGAAUAAUAUUUGUCAGAAACAACGAAAGUGCUACAGUACCGAAAACUUCACACUUUUCGUAACUAAACAAGGCCUUACUACCUACAUUUUUUAGUAUUGUACUCUCUCGAAUUCCUAGAGUUGUCCUAAGUCAAACUUUUCAAACUUUGACCAAAUUUCUAGAAAAAAGUACUAAGAUUUUUUUUGGAUGGAGGGAUCCCUAGUAAUAUUGCCAGAAAUGCUUGUUGGCCCUACCUAUCUCAUUAUUUCAUAUGACUAGAAUGAAUAUAAAGAUAUGAAUGAAAAGUAACUCGCUAGCACACAGAUAAUUAUACCUGUUGUAGCAUUUUAUCGGGAGUAAUACCUGUUGUAGUUACAUUCUACCAAAGGGAGGAGCUAUGGGAUUGGCAAGAGGUAAAUUAAUCAAAGUAUAUACUUAUGAUAAAAAUCAAUCACAUAGGACAUGUCUUAACAGGGGUAACCUAUAUAGACACAUACGAAGUAACUUAUUCUGUAGCCACCUUGAUUUAUGAUAAUUACUAUAUGUUAAUUUAUGAGAUUAUAUUAACACCUUACUAAGUGGUUGACGUUACGGUAAAUAUGUGUUAUAGAUAUUAUCGCAAAUUAGUAUAUAAAAUUAUCAUAAAUAAAAGUAGCUACAAAACAACUUAUUUUGUAGCUAGCUACUGAAUAUAUUGGCCAGUUAUUUGGACAUAGAAUAUUUUGGUCGAUCAGCGAAGGCAUCGCAUCGUAGCAACAUAUCGAAGUCGGCUUGCCUGAAAUAUCACGUAAAGCAACAAAGAAAAUAGAAGUUACAUGUAAGCAAGCAAACGAUCGUUGGUUUCUUGUUUCGGUAAAAGGACAGGCCUAAGCGUUUACAACAGAUGGCUUGAGACGUACUUAUAAGGCACAUAGAAGAAGAAAAGAGAAGUCACAAAGAUGUAGGAUCAGGGCAAAACAAAGAUGCAGGAUCAGGGCAAAGUAAAUUCAUCUACGACGCUAAGAGUCCAAAAAAGAAUUGCUAAUUUAAUCUUGCAUACAAGUUUAUUUGUUUGAAGGAGAAAUCAGGACACAUGACUGUGACGUGUUCUUUUGCUAUUCUGUGAUCGAAACAAAACUUUGUAUCACCUCGUACAUAUGCUAUGACACUUACAUUUGGCUUAGCGUCAUGUUUUACGGAAAUAUGGGAUAUACCAAAAUUUGAUAUGUUAAUAUAUGACCUUGUUUAGAUCCAAGGUUUUUUUUAUUUAGACACUGUAACAUUUUUGUUUGUAUUUGAUAAUUAUUGUCUACUCAUGGACUAACUAGCCUCAAAUCAUUCAACUCGCAAAUUAUAGAUAAACUGUGAAAUUAGUUAUUUUUUAUCUAUAUUUAUGCUCCAUGUGUGUGCCGUAAAAUUCGAUGUGAUGGAGAAUCUUGAAAAGUUUUUGGUUUUUGAUGCAACUAAACGAGGCCUUAGCCAUUGGCUGUUAUAUAUAUUGCUAAUAUAUUUUGGCCGGUUAUUGGAUAUAGAAUAUUCGGGUGGAUCGGCCCAUGCGUACCACAACAACGUGUUGAAGUCGGCUUGACUGAAAUAUCACGUAAAGCAAACAAAGAAAAUAUAGGUCAUGUAAACAAGGAAGAUACAAUUGUUGGUUUCGUGUUUCGGUAAAAGGAGAAGCCCAAGCGUAUAGUGGCUUGAGACAAUACUUAUAUGGCAUAUAGAAGGAGAAUGGAGAAGUCACAAGGAUGCAGGAUCAGGGCAAAGUAAAUUCGUCUACGACGCAAGGGGUCACUACUCCAGAUCAGCACAUCAUUGAUGGUUCCAAACCCCCCCGCUGCUAGAGUUUUAACUGGCAGCCGGCACUGAUGUGGGGUUCUCAUCACUGCAGGAUACAAGAACCGCCAGUGAUAAACUGCAAGACUGUCAGUUCAUAGCUCAACCUGGCAUUGCCAUUUGAGACAACACUACCAAUUUGUGCCUAAGCCGACAGUGAAGCUUCAUUCAACACUACCGGCUUGUGCCAUGAGCUAGCUGACAGUGAUGCUCAAGCUAACACUAUCAGCUUGUGGCUCUAGCCGACAGUAAUGCUCAAGACAACACUACUGGCUCGUAGCUCUAGCCGACGGUGAUGCUCAAGACAACACUGCUGGCUCGUAGCUCCAACCGACAGUGAUGCUCAGACCAUCACUACCGGUUUGACGCUCGACCUAGCAGUGCUGGCUUGUGGCUCGAGCCAAUAGUGAUGCUCACGACAACAAUGCCGGUAAUGAUUGUUUCAGCAAUAUUGUCGGCCAGUAGGUCAAGCCGGCAGUAUUGUUGAAGACAUCACUGGCAGCUUGGAUAUAGCCGACAGUGAUCUUUUUUUUUGCAUUUUAUUGCUUUAUAUAAUUUUUUUUAUUUUCUGUGAAAUCAGGUUUCGCUUUAUAUUCAUUACAUAGAUGAUAGGUCCAUCAACAUUAAACAUUACAAAUAUUACAAUUACAAUUCAAAUGUACUUAUGAAAGCGGAGCCUCGCAAGAAUCCUGCGCAGGUCCUCCGCUAGAGACCUGCGCAGGAUAAAAGCGUAAAACAGACAUUUAUCCAAAAACAACCCGAUAUAUUACAUUACCAGCAAAAUAUUUACAGUUGAAGUCAAGACCUUCGACUUACAAAAAAAAAAGCGUCGCAUGCGCAGCAGACGCAAAAAAAACUGAAAAACCUACAAACUAUAUAACCUCACACCUGAGGCGGCGGAGGAGCAGGAGCUUCGGGUUGCUCUGAGGCCUUGGCAACAGAUUCCUCAGGAGCUUUAGCACUUGCGUCACGAACCUCCGCCUCAGCCUGAGUCGAAGGACGCGCUUCGCUAGCAGGACGCGAAGGACCGGGCUUAUCAACCUUAGCCGCCCUCUUGGCAUUCUCCUGCAAAUCAACAAGCUUAAAAAACAUUGCAAAGAAGCCUAAACCCUAAACAUAAUACAAAAAGAAUACCUCAGCGCGACGAGCCUCCGCCAUCUUCUUCGCCUCAGCCCGCCCAAACCUAAUCCAGAACGAACUAAUGAAGUUCCGGACAGACUUGCGCAGGCUCGAGGUGCCCUCGCCAACAUCCUCCGCCGACGCGAACUCUUCCUUAGCAACUCCCUCCGCAUGGGAACAACCUCCGCGGCGCAGCAGCCUGGCGAAGGAGCUAACCGCAGCCAAAGCCCCA
rnacentral:lncRNA from 1 species